UCCUGGGCGGUCACACAGAAGAUGGAAGCUCCCCUGGGAUUGUUUUCGGGAAUGUAGGCUGAAUACGAGGCCUGACUGAAAGCAGGACGUUAAAUUUUACAAGACACAGCGCGCUCUGAGCGCAGAGCUCCUCCCGGUCUAUCCUGCUUGCGGUGACCAAGCUGCCGCUUCGCGGGUUCAGAGCAAAGAGCUGCGUCCUACCUCUAGAGAUGAUGCGGACUCCACGCUCCGCCAGCUCCCAGGGCUCCAAUCCCAGGUUCUUGGAGAUGUUGCCCACAAAGGAACCUUUGUCCAGUUCCUCUUGCACUGAGUAGUGGAUCUGCCCGGAUCCAGUCUUGCAUAGCGUCCACAGAAGCACAAACAGCAGGGCCAAUCCUCUGCAGUGUCUGAAUCUCAGGAACAAGGAAAUGGUGGACAAGCUCGCCAGCCCCGUUUUCCUCCUUGAGUGGUCAGCAGCGACACUCAGAGGCCUAAUGGUUUACUGCACCCUUUCAGAUAAACCCAACUCUCCUGGCUGAGGAGCAUGUCGGCAUAGUUGGGCUGGGGGAAGAUCACGUGACUCUCCCCGGAGUCCGCG